UGGGGAAUCUUGGACAAUGGGCGCAAGCCUGAUCCAGCCAUGCCGCGUGAGUGAAGAAGGCCUUCGGGUUGUAAAGCUCUUUUACCAGGGACGAUAAUGACGGUACCUGGAGAAUAAGCCCCGGCAAACUUCGUGCCAGCAGCCGCGGUAAUACGAAGGGGGCUAGCGUUGUUCGGAAUUACUGGGCGUAAAGCGCACGUAGGCGGAUUGUUAAGUCAGAGGUGAAAUCCCGGAGCUCAACUUCGGAACUGCCUUUGAUACUGGCAAUCUAGAGUCCGGAAGAGGUUAGUGGAAUUCCCAGUGUAGAGGUGAAAUUCGUAGAUAUUGGGAGGAACAUCCGUGGCGAAGGCGGCUCUCUGGACCAGCACUGACGUUGAGGCACGAAAGCGUGGGGAGCAAACAGGAUUAGAUACCCCCGUAGUCCCUGAGCGGGCUGGCAAGGCGCAU
rnacentral:rRNA from 1 species